rnacentral:lncRNA from 1 species
UGGACAUGCAUAUAUUUGUGUUUCUGCUUUUACUCAUAGCUAACUUUGUCCUCUUUCCCCAUACUACGAUAUAGCGAUAAGGUUUCGCCUUGCUGUCUAACACUAUUACUUUGCGAAGCGUGAAAUACCUACACGUUUUUGUAGGUGUAAAGGAGAUACGAAAGGACAGAAGCGGACGUAAACGUUUGUUGGCAACGCCUUCAAAACAAGUUGUUGGCAGGGUGACGAACGAUACAUGUGUUUCAUGUAUUAAAAAGCAAUAUAAUUAAUCCCAGAUCAGAAAACACUGGUGAAUAA